AGGGCCUACCGGAUGAUUGGCACCGAGUGCUGGGUUAGCCUCCCGACUCCUGCUAGGCUCCCUCGGUGCUGAGUGAACGAGCGCCACGUGGCUCUUGGCCACUUCUGGCUAGCCUGGUUGUCCCCAAGCUGCAAGGUGAUGAAUCCCAUGGAGUGACGACAUUCUAUUCCUCAAGAUCCGACCUUCUCACAUUCUGCCUCUCUUCCAUCAGACUGUUCAAACAAUGGACUGGAAGAAAUUGCAGUUUCCCCAGGACUCUCAUUCUGGAAGAAGAGAAAGAUUAAAGCCUGGACCAGCCAGAGAGGAAACUUAUCUCCUGGAACUUUUAAACCACUGUGCCAAAAACACUCCAGUCCUCCACUUACACUGUAACCUUGGGUCAGGACCCUGAAGAUGCACUUGGAAAGUUACUGGGCCUCUCUGUCUCUGUUCCUACUGUGCUCAUAUUAAAUUAAUUUCCCUCUUCUGCUUUUGCUAUUAAUUUAGAUCUAUUAAUCUACUUAUCUAAGACAGGUGCCUGAACCUGGCUUGUGACACAGGCUGUAACCUUAAGUCCAGUGACACUGGUGUCUGUACUAUCAUGAAAGUGAUUUCAUAAUUAGAUCAUAAAUGUUGACAAUGUGCCCUUGAGAUUCUUUUCUUUUGACCUAGCACAGACACUACAACUGAAGCCCCUCAGAGCUUCACACAGGGAAACUGAGGCUUCUCCUGGAUAGCAGCAUAAAAACUGGGCCAGUUUAACACAUCUGCUUUCAGUUAACCUCAUAGAAGCUGGGGAGACAGAUCUGGGACAGGUGUGGCCAUCCUUCUGGGCCAGGUUUAACAGAGUAAAAGUUUCUCCUAUACCCAGAGACCAUCUGUUCAGCCUCUAGUGGGGCCUCCCAAAGCUGACCCAUCUGGGAAGUGCCCUGUGUGUACAGCUGGCUUCCUGCCUCCUUGCUGGAGAAGAGGCUGGCCUUCUGACCUGCCAGGCUGUCUGUUGUGUUUCUAAACAAUGCUUACGGUCGUCCUGCUUCCUCUCCAGUGACUCUGCUGCCUCUCAGCGCUGCUGUCAAGAUCGGGGCAAGAUGCUUCAUGUUUCUUCCUGCUCUUGCCUGAGCUUUCUACUACAGUACUUAUAUUAACUAGGUAACAUAAUAUAUUAUCUAUAUAUUAUCCAUGUCUAGCUAUGUACUUAUACAUAGAUAUAUCUAUAGAAUAAGAUUAUAUUAACUAGAUAGGUGAUUUAAUGACUACAUUAACAAAUAACUAGAAAAGCGACUUGAGAAGGUUAAGUAGAGGGUUUAAGAUGUUUUAACAGCAAGACACUAACUUCCCUUGCUAGCCCUUUACUUGUCACCAAACAGAUCAGUUCCAUCUUAUGGUUAUAAAAUGGCAUACCUCAGCCUAUAAGAGCAGGGGGCAUAUCUCGCUUGAUGGAUAUUAACGUUGGGGCUUGUUGUUGUCACGCAAAAGCACAGCUCUCACCUCAAAGGGGAUGCAGACAUAGUUUAUUCUGCAGCCAAAUAUGAGGCCCAGGUAACCAUGGCCCAGGAACACAGAAUCAGGUUACCCCAAAUUCCAUCUUUCAGUGUGGAAAGCAGCAUAUAACAUAGAAUACCAUAAAUCAAGGUAAAUUUCAACUACAUUGGUGGAAACAUUAAAUUGAGGUUAUGGAAAUUUUAGCUUCCGCAUUUCUUGUUUUGUCCAUGGCCCUUCCUCCAUUUUCAGAACCAGCAGCAGUCAGAUCUCUCUCUCUCUCUCUCUCUGGACAAAACCUGAGGAGGAUUUCUGUAGGACUGAGGGUGGCCACGUGACUCUAAUCCCAUACUGAGGGAGAAUGGGAGAGAACCCUGGUGGGACAGAGGAGACAUUCUAAGUUCUAAAGAAAGACACUUGUGUCCCACCGUAUAGAGAAUGGAGCCAGCAGAGGUGACCUGGUGGCUGACAGAUGGCCUCAAAGCCAAAUCUGUGUAUUGGGUAGGAGUCAACUAUAAGAUGGUCAUAUAAAAAGGAAUAAAGGGAGGACAUAUUUUAAUUAAGGACCAGUAAAAAAGCCAAUGGGGAGAAAAAGAACGAAUGGAGAGUCAGCAUGUGACUAUGCCUGUGAUUGGGUAAAGAAAAAAAAUCACAUGGUAUGUCCCUGGUUGGACCAACAGGGUGUUCAAGGAAUGUGUGAGCCCACAGACAUACCC
ensembl:lincRNA Gm27174 predicted gene 27174